GGUGAAUGCUGGCGGCGUGGAUAAGUCAUGCAAGUCAAGGGGGCCCGCAAGGGCAACCGGCAAAACGAGGUAGUAACACGUAGGUAGACCCCCCCAGAGUCGGGCAUAGCCAGCCGAAAGGUUGGGUAAUUCCCGAUAGUCCCGAAAGGGUAAAGGUUUUUCGCUCUGGGAGUUGCCUGCGUAGUAUCAGCUAGUUGGUAGGGUAAUGGCCUACCAAGGCUACGACGCUUAGGGGAGCUGAGAGGCUGACCCCCCACCGAUGGAACUGCGACACGGUCCAUACUCCUACGGGAGGCUGCAGACGAGAAUAUUCCGCAAUGGGCGAAAGCCUGACGGAGCGACGCCGCGUGAUUGAUGAAGUGCUUCGGUACGUAAAG
rnacentral:rRNA from 1 species